rnacentral:lncRNA from 1 species
ACAAAGUGAUGAGCUCCCUCGACAUAAGGGGCUACCAAUCAAGAAACCCAGUCCCUCACCCAUGUGAAAAACGCAGCCUGAUACAUUCUAAUCUAUCUUCUACACCACUGUCCUGGCACCAUGUCCAUUAACCCCAUUCACUCCAUUGCCAUUUUGUGGAUACUUCUCGGAGCUCUCCCUUUUCCUCUUGAUGACUAUGUACCAUGUAGCAGCUUCCAGCAUAAUUGCAAAGAAUCCCAAGAAUAUGAGAAUGCCGAUGUAUGCUCUCUUCCAUUUCUCCUCAGGAUCCAAGAUGUCAAAGCCCUCAAAGAUGUUGAAGAUGCUCAGGAUAAUGAUGCAAUAUCCGAUGGCAUGGUGGUAGAUGUUCCAGUAGAGUCUGUACUUGUGAUCCUUGUUUGGCCUCAGGAGCAGAGCAAAUAACUGUAUGUGAAACACAAGUUCAUUUAGAAGGCUGCAUACAAGACAAGUACAGAGAAUGUGCUAAAACCCGAAGAAUUCACCAUAUUGAUUCGGUACCUGAAGGGUUCCAAGGCAGAAAAGGGUGAUGCCAACGUUCCUAUGGGUGUCAUACUGAACAGUAGAAGAAUCACUGCCAAGUUUUAUACCGGUUGCCCAUCCAGCCACACCAACUAUGUAUCCUGAGGACUGGCAAGCAACAUGUAGGUAGAACCAUGCCGGGUCUGCAGCCUGGAAAACCUUCAUGUAUCUUGCAAUCAUGGCACCCAGAGGCAUCAAGGUGCCCCAACUGACAACGUUCAACACACCAUGAAUCUGAAAGAUUAACCCCAUCACAGUUAAAAUCAAAUCCCAUAGAUAUGAAGAUCAAAUAUUGAUAAUGGAAAUGGUUAUUAGGUUUCUGUUUUUUCCUUCAAUCACCUAAGGUUAACUCAGAAAAAAGAUUGAAUCACUUACAUUUCUCCUCCUCACUCUUGAAGAUGUGGCUGACCCUCCUGUGCUAGUUUGUCCUGAAAGAAGAUCCAAAGUGCCCAUAGACUGAACAUGUUCGCCAGUGGUGGAAUGUGUACCAGGAGUGCCUCCACUCAAAGGACCUUCUUGCCAGACCUGGUUCACGGUUGUAAGGCUGGAGGAGAGCUCCAAAGUGGCAUAUAUGAUCAUCUCACCGUUGCUGUUCUCUGCUUCGAUCUUUGGUACUGAAAAGCUCAAAGAACCAGGCGCCAACGUAGUGCUAUAACUAGACACCGGAGAGGUGUAUGCAUAGGGGGCACUGGAGUUCACAUAUGCCACAAGAGACUGUGCCCCCACCAUACCUGUACUAUUCAGGUUGAUGGCCCAAGCAAUCCAAUUUGUCGACGAAAAGUCAGGCUGCCUGUAUGCAAUUUCCAAAGUUCCAUUUGUGUGGCGAGUCCAGUGGAUGAAAGAACCCAAUUCGGAGAGGUCAGUGCAAGAGGUAUAGAGGUUAUUGUUGGAGAAGGUGUAGCUCCCACAUGUCUGAGCAGAAGAUGAUACCAACAUAGAAACCAAAGCACAUGAAACCAACAAAAUUCUCAAAGACCCAUCCAUGGUGGCUGAAUUCAAGGAUACCCAGAGGCCAAAACCUCAACAAAAACAACCUUUCAGAAUCUGGGUGUUCUCAGAUGGCACUGAAACAGGUCCCUGAGGUGUUUUCUCAAUUUGGGUACUUGAAGAACAAGCUCAAUGUGAUGAAUGAAGAAGAGGGGUUCCCUCAAAGAAUAUAUAUAUAGAAGGAUUGUUGGAGAAGAGUUGGGGUGGUUGACUGGUUCUCUCCAUUGAAUGCUGUGUCUAUAUAUUGACACGGCCUCCGUAAGGGAGAGAGGGCAGUAAUGGAAGCAGGCGAGAAGGUGUAGGCACCUGUGAAAUUUCAAAGUUUGAAACUCUGUAGUAUGCGGUGGGGCCACGCACCUUCAACUACUCCUCGUGUUCACAUCUACUUUGUCCAACUUUCCUAAAACUAGUUCAUAUUCUGACUUUUUUCUCAUGUUUCCGCCACCAAAUCUAUUGAAAAAUGACACGAGAAAAAUGGAGAUGCUCAUUCCAC